UGGACCACUACUGAGCAUGUGUAACGAACCAUGGAUUAAAAUUAAUCUAUUUUAGUACAACUGAGUGCCAUU
rnacentral:snoRNA from 1 species